rnacentral:lncRNA from 1 species
AAUUAUAUAAUGUAAUACACUCUAUUCCAUAAAUGGAAACAGAAGAAUGUACAAAUAACAACUAGUAGUUAAUAAGUAAUACAAUUCAUCCAUAGCCAUGAGAAUUAUAUUAAUUCGGCCUGAGAUUGUGAAAUUUAAUCUAAAUACCCUCCUCCUCUUUACCAAGAAAAUGAAUAGCAUUUUAUCAUUAAGAAAGUUAAAAAAAGAGAAGGAUAUUUAUUUAUUGAAUUAUUUAUCAUCUCCAUCUUGGCCUAAUUCAGCUCUAACAUCUUCUUUAAUAGUCUCCAAUUUUGGGGAAUGAGAAUUUUUUUGUGGGAAAACAAAAAGUGAAGGAGCAACUUCAAUCUUCACCAUCUUCUUUGCCAUUGUCAAUAUGAAUAAUACAACGUAGAUUGUGAGCUUUCUCCUUAAAAUAUAAGACAAAGGGAACAGAUGUUGGAAGGUGUAUAUAUAAUUGGGUUGAUGAUGAAUAUACCAAAAUGUUUUGGAGGGGUUUUGCUUAUAUAGGGAAAGGAAGAUGAAAAAUAUCAAGAAUCAGAGAGUACGUGUACGGUGUUAUGCAAUACCACGUGUGCUCAAUGCCCCAUAAAUAUAGACAAGAACAAUGGAAACACCAAAGAAGGCAUGUGGAAAAUUAUGAAUUAUUUGUUUGGUGGAAUGGCCACAUCAGUUUGUUUGGGAGAAGGUGACUGAAUAUUGAAAACUUCCUCUUAUGUAUUCUUGACACGUAUGCACUUCUAGAUUUUAUUUCAUUUUUACGUGUGGGUGCUGUUGCGCGCCUCCUUAAUUGUUAGGUCAUAGUAAUAUAAUUAUUGCGUUUGAGAUACUCUUUUAAGUCAAUAAUAUGUAAGAUAAUAAUUACUAAUUUUUAUACAUGGUCUACAUUAGACACUUUGCUUAGAGGUUAGAGGUCUGAUCUAUUGAACAUUGGGAAAUAUUUAAGAAUAAACCAUCGAAUACAGCAUAUUAUAAUUAUUGGUUNNNNNNNNNNNNNNNNNNNNNNNNNNNNNNNNNNNNNNNNNNNNNNNNAGUUAUCGCACCAUGUAUAUAACUUAUCUCCAUCAUUAUAGUGUAAAUCAUGAUUGAAUAAAUAAUCAUGGUACUAACUAAUACCUCACACUGAACAUGGGAUAAAAUAAUUUUUAUUAUUUUAUUUUAAAAUUAUUUAUCCCUUUAUACCUUACACCAAACGACCCCUUAUAGUUAAAAAUAAUAAUUUUGGAGUAAUGUUUAUACACUCGGUGUACAAUAACCACUAACAGACAAUUCAAGUAACUCAUUUUGAUUGUAUAAGAGUAUCACCAAUAAUACAGACAAUUAUGCCUCACAUUCAAGUAUUUAAUUAAUCAUAAGCUUUAGUUCUAAAUAUACUCUUGAUUCAUGAUUGCACAUGUUUAGAGAUUUCGAGACUCCUUAUAUGGCUUAAGAAAUCACCUUUUGUUUAAUUAAUUUUUGAGAUUGAAUCAGAUCAAACUUUAUUUAACAUAUUCAAAUAAGUCAUAUAUUUUAGCUACAAGAACACAUAACAAGCAAGUAAAAGGACAGAAUGUGUUAAGCAACUUAAAAAUUAAGUAUGAUUUGCAAUGCUAAAGGAAAUAAUGUGCAAGAUAUUCUAAUUAUUUCUACAAAAAAAGAAAAAAAAAAAAAAAAGACGUAGUCAUCUUCCAAGAUGCCAUCUUUGUUUUGAGUAGGGCCGGGUAGAGAUGGUUCGAAGCAGCCCGUUAAAUAAGGUCAUAGUAUUUAGCUAGAUUUGUUCCUAGAUUUCUAAGUAUUUUUGAUAUGUUAUUUUUGGAUUAUGAUUUAAGUGAAGUUACCUCAUGUAUUUCGUUAUAAUAUUUAGAAAAUAUAUUUUAAAUUUAAAUGUUUCUAAAACAUAGAAUUUGACAUAAAUACUAAUUUUUCUAGUAUUUAACAAUUCGGAUUAUUUAUCAAAAAUAUUUGUCCAAUAAUGACAAACUGUAUAAUGUAUGAUUAAUACUAUUUGUUAAGUUUUUUUUUUUUUUCAAAAAAUAUUUGAGAAAUCUAUGGCCAUACGAGUUAUUUGAAGUAGAGCCAUCUGUUUUAUGGAGAAAUUUUGACUUUUUGAAGAGUCACCACUUAAUUUUGAAAAAGAAUUAAGAAACCUUUAGAGAGUUACUUCAAACGAUCCAAAACAGGAAAAUCGUUUAAAUUAAGAGAUUUUAAGUAAGUGGUUCCUAUUAACGUUUUAGGAAGGUGUUAGGUACCAAAAACGUCUGCUAACUUGCGGUUAUUCGGACUGUUUGAAAAUUGUAAUCGAUUAACCUUGAAAAGUUGAUUUUUGAAAAGAAAAGUGAUUUUAGAAAUAUUUUGGUGUUUAUGCGAAACCAGUUUUUAGCGACUUGACUAAGGAUUUAACUAGAUUCACAAAACACAUAAGGCAAACAAGCGUAAAGCAAAAGGGGAAGGGGAGAAAGUAGGGAUUUAGGCCAUUGGGCCCAAAUCCACGAGACCUGUCCUAGUCUAAUUGGGCUUUCGACCCAUUUCACCUGUCCUAAUCUAAUUUUCGAGCCUUUUUGGCACAAAAUUCGCUCCACCUGUAUUAAGUACAACUUUGGCUUCGAGACCCAAAUGAAUGAAUAAAUAAGUAACUAAAUAAAUAAAAUAUAAAUAAAUAAAUAAUGAAGACAAUGGAUAAAUAAACGAAAUAAUGAGACUUUCAAGUCUCCUUCACCGCUUCAAAGAUGGAUUUCAACCCGUCCUUCUUCUUCCGAUUCCUUCUAUCCGACACACCAUAGGAUCGACAUUUAGGCUUAAACUUAAGAAAGAGCGACACAUGAUUGGAUUCAGGAAUAUUAUUCAAGAAGAAAUCAAAACAGAUUGCAAGAAUCUCACAAAGAAUAUUACACAUUUUUCUUUCAGAAAUACAUUCUUAUUGUUUAAAAUAUAUUCUGCCAGGCCUAAUAAAAGAGCCAAAUAGAGUCCCCUUUAUUUGGACACUCAAAAAUUGAUGAUUAAGCAAAAGAAAACUAAUUCAAAUCAUAUCAUAAAGACACAGUCUGUUCUAAAAGAAAUUAAGGCUAAAUGCACACUUUAGAGAAAUCCCUUUAAUAAAGCAUCGACAUACAGUAAAGGUAAAAGCUUUCAGAUUUAGCACUUAAGACAAACAAUCAUAGCUUUGAACUAGCCUCUUUCUCUCCUCGACAGAUUAUAUUGAACCAAAAGUCAAGAGAUCACUGAGCAAUCCUAAAUUGAAUCAAACUUAUGCAUCGUCUAGUUCAUUACUUCCUUGGAUGUUAGGAAUCCAACAAUAUUUUUAUGGAUUGAAUGUAUGCAGUAUCAAAGAGACGAAAUAAAUCUGUAAACGAGGCACGUACUAGUAUUCGGAUAGGAGAAGAAUCAUUUUUUUAGCUCAAUUCACAAGUAGAUCAAGGAAACAAAACAAACAUUGCGCUCUUUGACGAGUUACUCCAUACAACCAAAGGUGAUCAAGCUAGUUGACAUCAACAUAACGUAAUUGAACAGAAGGACGACAACAGGCAAGAUGAAAUAAUGUAGUUUCUCUAUAUCCUUAUCUAGCAUUCAACGACAAGAAUAAACUAAACCCCAACAGGAGAUACCAACCAACCAACAUAAUUUUGUAUGUAGUUUUUUUUUUUCAGAGAGAAAGUGAGAGAAUUUCAGCGAGUUAUACUAUCUCAAAAACAAUUUUUCAUAUCUUUUAGGCAAAUGAUCAAGAUAUUAAUGAAAACAAAGGACAGAAUUUAGAAAGCCGGAAAGAGACGACAUAGAAAACAAACUGAUGAAUCUGGACUUGACAUAAGCUAUAAGAGAACAUGGUUUCUGAUCAAAAUCGGGUUAUUGAUAAAAAAUUCGUAAAGGAUCCCACGCAAAUAUCAUAUGCAUACAUCUUCCUCCCUUUUCCUUUUAGCUACUCAUUUUAGACCACAAGCUGGAAGAUAAUCAAAGAUUCAUAGGGGGUUCUUAUUUGCUAUAACGGAUGGAAACAAUGGAAAAAUUCAAACGUAACGAGAGAAAUUUAUAAGAAGACCAAAGAAAAACUAAGAAAAGUUAAGAACAGAGAUUAACAUAAUUCCUACAAAAAAAAAAGAAACUUUCUGCAUUAUUGAACACGGGAACAAAGAACAACAGGCCACUUUCUUGAAUACGCCCCUACAAAUUUCUAGUUUUAGGCUUGUGAACAAAAUCAGACAACAUCAAAUCAACAUGAGGUCUAAGAUCCUAAUGAAAAAGAAAAACCGAGACCAACAGAGAUGAAGCCAUCAGCAAAGAACUAGGCACUUAAGAAAAGUUAUCACCACCGUACAACAGACCGCUGCAUCAUUCAAGCAACCACACAGCCCACACAACAAACCUCAUGUUCAUCAUUCAAAUAAACAACUAUCGCUAUAGAGAAAACAGAUGAAGAAGAAAUAUGCAGAUAAAAUUAAACAAGGAAAGGAAUAUUUACAUCUCUCGAGGGAGCAAAACGGGAUAACGAGUUAGUGUUGGACUAACACCAUCACCUGAGAACGUCGUCGCCGUCAACUCGGAGCUCUCAUCAACUGAUCAACUUUCGAAAACACUAUUCCUACUAAAGGAUUGAGUUUUUCUCAAAGGAUUUCUCUUCUUCUUUUUCUAACCCCUUUCAACUCUCUAUUUUUCUGAAAAUCCCAAAUUUUCCCACCCAAGAUUUUGAACCCCCUUCUUGCUCUAAAGAGGGAUACUUAUAGAAGGGAAUUGAGGGUUCAUUUUUUGAAAUUCAAAAGAUGAGGAUCAUAACAAAUUGUACCCCUGUUUUACAGAGAAAUUUUGACUUAUGAAGAGUCUCCACUUAAUUUUGAAAAGGAAUUAAGAAACCUUUCUAAAUUUCAACGAUCCAAAAGAGAAAAAAUCAUUUAAAAUUAAGAGAUUCUGAGUAAGCAGUUCUUAUUAACGUCUUAGGAAGAUGUUAGGCACCUAAAACGGCCGCUAACUUGCGGUUAUCCGAACUGUUUGAAAACAUCUUUUGAUGAACUUCAAAAAAAGAUUAGUUUGUUGAAAAGUGAUUGAUUUUUAGCAAAUACUUAUGUAUAAUGAAUUUAGGUGACUUGGUAGAGAUUUUAACUAAGUCUAAACAAAACCAAUAAACAAAUAAACACAUAAAGGGGAAAGGGAGGAGAAUGUAAAAGAUUUAGGCCAUUGGGCCCAAAUUGACAAAACCUGUCCUAAUUUAGUUGGAUUUUCGGCCCAUAACCUGUCAUGAACUAUCUUUUCAGGUCCGUUGGCCCAAAAUUUGCUCCACUUGUAUUAAAUUUACAACUUUGACUUCGAGACCCAAAUGAAAGAAUAAAUAAGUUACUAAAUAAACAAAGAUAUAAUAAAUAAAUAAAUAAAUAAAUAAAUAAAUAAAGGCGACAACGAAUAAGUAAAUAAAUAAAAUGAGACUUUCAAGUUUCCUUUGCCGCUUCAAAGAUGGACUUUAACCCGUCCGUCUUCUUUCGACUCCUUAUAUCCAUACACUAUGUAACCUUAGAUUCUCUUUCGGGUUUGGCUCAACGGAUGGGCCUUAUUGGCCCAUUAGGGAAUGCAAAAAGUUCAUUUGGACUCCAACGAAUUCACAUGCAAAAGAAAGGGAAAGAAAUUAAUAUGCAACAAAAAUAUAAAAUACCACAUGAAUAAAUAAUAUAACAAGUCAGUAAAUGAUCAAAUAACUGUGGUAAUCCAAAAUAAAUAGGGGACAGUAAAUCUGAAUAGAAAUGCCAGGAAAUGGGCAUGUUCAUCAUGGUAAAGCCAUACAAUUGGAAAGAGAAUUCUAGCUAAAUUAAACAGUCACAAUGCUAUGAUCUUUUUCUUUUUCUUUUUUUCGAACAGACUGACAAUCAACUCACAAAUUAAAUCAAUUAACAAAAGAAACAUUAAAUUUUCACAACAUGCUAGAAAACUACUAUUCAUAACAGAACGAGGCAACAAAAUGAAUCAAAACAGAAAGAUUAAAACCCAACUAAUUCAGAAUGUGAAUAGUCAUUGAUUGGUAAGGAAGAAAGUGAUUAUAACGUAUUCCAUUUAAAGGUGGUUUAAUAAAGCUUUAGUGCAUGCAUAUAUAUAUAAAGUAAGGAUGUGUAAAAGUUCAAUUAAUCACUCACUUCAUUUAAAUAAAAUUUGACAAAAAAGAAAACAUAGUCCUUACAACACUUAACAGAUAAAAUUGAAGCAUGUAGAUCUUUACAAUCAAAAAACUUCAAAUAAUCGGAUUGAACUAGAAAAGAAGAGAGGACACUAUGCACAAAUCUGACAACUAAAGCACUGCAAAUCAUCAUACCAAAUAGCAACAAAAAUUUCAACGUUGCACACUUGUUAUGAAGAUUGAAGCAAUUGAAAAUAACAUGUCGAAAUAAGAUUUAAACAAAAGGUCUAAUGCACUUUUGAGAUGAAACAAACUAAGUGAUUCACAAAAAUAGGUGUACCAUUAAGCUCCUUAUACGUGUAUUGAGGCUGUAGUGACAUAAUUAGGAACAACCCAAACACAACAGGUAUAUUAGGCAAGCAUACUUCAUAGUUUAAACUCAAACAAGAAUAAACGAGUCUUUUUACUUCUUAAUCAGAUAUCACUAAGAAUGCUGCUUAACCCAAAUUUUAUUCGAAUCAUGAUGAAGAGUUUGGCGCCGGAAAACAUCAACAUAGCAAUCUUGAGAAAGACAAUAACUGUAAGAGUCACUGAGAAUAGAAGGAAAGACUCUAUUUCUGCAACUUAGACACAGUAAAUAGAUCAAGUGACAUCUUUCGUCCCUCUAAAAUAAGGCAAGAAUAAAUCUUUUUAAAACAAUAUGCAAGCAUUUGUAACAUUAACUACAAAAAUGAUCAAAGCUACAAGCUUGGCAACAUAAUAACCAAAAGAACCAACAAAAACAGAAAGCCCAAGAAACCAACUGGACCUAAACUUCACCAUAGACACUGUUAAGUCACGAAAUAAUAAAAUCAUUCAAAGAAAAUCGAAUUGAAAAUCUCGACGCAAUUAUCGAUUCAACAGAAUAACAGUUCAUAACAAGCUAAUCCUAUAGCCUUCAUAGCCAUCUACAGGUACUCCCAGCAAACAAACAAUAUUAUAAUUACAACAGAACCAUAAAGAAAGAGAUGACUAAGAAAAAGACAACAACAAAAACUUAAAUGAAAAGAGGGGUCUACCUCUUAUGGAGCAGCAAAGCGGGACAAUGAACUAGCGUCGGAUUCACAACCAUUGAAAAAUGAUGUCGAUGCUAACGCAGAAACCACAAUCAGUCGCCGAACCUUCAAGGCUUUCGAUUAAACGAUCAUCUUUAAAAGAAGAAGGAAAGAAAAAUAAUUUUUACUAGAGAAGCUGAUGUGCUCUAAAAUAAUUUCUUCUGUUUUUUUUUUUUUUAGAAUUUUCAAACCCCCUCAGCUUUUUUCCCAAUCAGAAAAAAAAUCUCCUCCCUAUUUGCGCCUAGAAUCCCCUUUUAUAGAGAAGGCUGGAGUCCUUCUUUUAGGGCUUCAAGCCUGCCCCAANNNNNNNNNNNUGGGAGUGGUGGUGUGGGAAUCUUGGAUUUCUUUUCAAAGUCGAAUUGAGGGAACAAAUUCCCGCUAAUCCCUUGUACCAAAUCGGGAUUUUCUGGAGAAAUUGGAAAAUGGGCGACCAAUAGAAAUUGGGGAAAGGGUAAUAUUCUCCCAAAACCAAUGAAAUUCAUACAAGUAUGUACGAAUUCGUACCCUUUCUUUCCCGAAUUUGCGGAAUUUGAAUGUUAGAGAGACACCUAGGUGCUUCUAGAGAAUUCUUGGCGUCUUAUUCGUAUCCGCGUGGGUGCAUGACAAAGAUAAAAAAGAAACGAGUUGGGGAUCGGGUUUGAAGCUGGGCUCACUGGAUGGUUGUUGUUCAAAGUGGGUCAUUGGUGGUAGAAAUUGGGUAUAAGGUUGAAUUUUGUUGUUGAGACCGUCGUUGUUUGUUGAGGUUGAUAUUGGUGUUGUUUGUUUACUGUUAUAACAGUUGUGUAUGUGUUUGUUUUUGUUGAUUUUUUUUUGUUGAAAACUGAUAAAGAUGGGCCGGGUCAGGUUUUGGUUUGGGCUGGUACAAUUUUAAGGGACAAAUGGACUGAGAUUAUGGUGGACUGCUGAUGGGGUUUUUAAUUGGGUAUUGGGGAUUUGGCUAAAUUGAAAUCAAUUGGCCAAUUGCAUUGCGAUUGUGGCCACUUUGAUUUCAAUUAUGGCCAAACAUAAUAGAUUGGCUAAAUAAAAUCAAAAUUCGAAAUGAAUUAAUAUCUCAUUUAAUCUUGAGUUUCUCGAUUUUAAUAAAAUCAAACAAAUAUAUAUCCAAAUAAAUUAUUUUGAUUCUAUUUAAAUCAAGAUUUUAAUCUUUUGAAUUUAUUUCAAGAUAAGCCUUGAUUAAAAUCCGAUAUUUCGUAAAAAUAGAUAUUUAAGUAGCAACAUUAUAAAAUUUCGUAUAACUGACUACAAUAAUAUAUAAUCGCUACUUAAAAUGACAAAUUUAUCCAAAUACAUAUUUUGAAAAUCUUUAUAUUCAGAUGAAUAAAUGUUUCAAUUUUAAUAAAAAUCGAAGAAACUCGGGAUUAAAUUUAGUCGUAGAGGGCAAAAAUUAGGUGUUAACACCCCCCCCCCCAUUUGAAUUUUCUUGCAUGAAUUCCAAAAAAUGGCCAACAACCAUUGGGGAUAACAGAUAAUUUUUCCAAGAACCACCGAAAAAUUUUCAAAUAUGUACGAAUUCGUACAAGUUAUCCCAAAAUUUGUGGAAUAUGGAGAUUGGAAUGAGCCAAUUCACCAUAUUCUAGGAGAUUCGACCAAUUUCUUUGCGAAUCCGCAUGGGUCAGGGUCGGGUCGACUCAAACGGAGCUGGGUUGGAUUGAACGGUGGGUUGGAGCUAGAUUCGGGUUAAGGUCGUUGGUUUGUUGGAGUUGUACGCCAUUUUUGGUUGUUUGUACGUUGGAGAUCGGUUGUUCGUGCUGAUUAACGGAGAAAGGGGGAUUUAUUGAUGGUGGGCCGGAUCGUUUUAUUAUUUUGGGCCUGGUUGAGAAAUUGGGUUGGUAUGGGUUAGCAGCAUUUGAAAGAAAAAGAAAUGGGUUGCUUGGUUUAAUUAGAAGAAAAGAGGCUCGUGGGUUGGGUCUUGUGAAACUGUUAGGCCGAAAUUGGGGUUGAUUUUUGGGUCUAGGUAUUGGAUUUUAAUUCGGGUCAACUGAGUAGAAGGGUUUUGAGAAUUAGGAUUAGGAUUUUGGAUUACAACUUUGGCAAUUAAAUUCUAGUCAAAUUGAAUACCAAUUGGUCAAUUGCAUUUCAAUUGGGGCCAAUUUGAUUUCAAUUAGAGUCAAAUUUAAUAAAUUGACUAAAUCAAAUCGAAAUUCGAUACGAAUUAACACCUUGUUUAAUUCCGAGCUUCUUGAUUUAAUAAAACCCAACAAAUAUUUUCCGAGUAAAUAAUUUUCAAGAACAAAUUAUAUUUGAAUCAAGAUUUUAUUCUUUUGAAGUUAUUUUCAAGCUCAAUCUAAAUAAGAUUUCAAUUUUAAUAAACGUAUUCAUUUAAGUAACAAAAUUUAUACGAUCUCGUAUAUGUGAAUACGAAAAUGUAUAAUCGUCACUUAAAUAAUGAAAUUAACCCAAAUAAAUAUUUUAAAGUGUAUCUAUUUGGAUAAAGCAGUUGUUAUGAUUUUAUUUGAAAAUCAAAGAAACUCUGCAUUAAAUUUAGUCGGGGAGGGCAAAAAUUAGGUGUCAACACCAUCAACAUGGAUCGAAUUUGUUGAGCCGGCCCGACCCAACCUGUAAUUUAAUAGGAAUGGUAAAAUAUUAGAAAAAUUCAUAAACUAGCAUACUUAAGACCUUAAUUACAAAUAAUAGCAACACUUUCUCAAAAUUACAACUCACAGCAAAACUAGUAAUAUUUUAACAUUUUUAGAGUUAAGCGUAUGGAUUCAACUAAUUACUUUACCUUUACCUAUUUUUAAGCCACAUUCCCUAUUUAAGUUUCCUCCACUAUAAAUUUUUUUUUUUCAAAUACAACUAUUUCCUCUUUAAUUUUGGGUAAACAUUGAUCCUCAAUAAUUAAGGUAAGAUGAUUUUACAGUUAAUGCAUGUUUUUUUUUUCAUAUAACUUCUUUUUUGUAAAUUAUUUUUGACAUUUUUCAGCCUUCUUCUACGAUUUUUUUUUUUGAAUAUUUUUUUUGCGUAUUGAAAUUUUUGGCGUUACACGAUAAUGGCAGUACAUGAACAUCGUAGUAGUUCAGUUAGUGGUAUUCCACCGAUGAAUUUAGGUUCCGAUGAACUACCAUCGUUCAAUCUUGAUUCAACACAAAAUGGAGAAUUUAACUUAAUUUCUACUAAUAUUCAAUCGAAGGGAGAUGUUAGAAUAGAAGAGGUAAGAUCAAAGCAGCAUAAUGAUCCGGAAAAUAUUGUGAAAAUCAUGAAACGAAAAGCAUUGAGAGAAUAUUCAUCUCCAAAAUCCUCAAAAUUUCAAAAAUCGAUGAAAAAGAGAAAGUCAUUCCAAAAAGGAGAAUAUAGUAAAAUUGUAACUCCUGUUUCAUCUGAUUAUGAAUAUGAAGAAGAGAAAGUGGAGGAGGUAUUUUUGUAUUUGUAAUUUUUUAUUUUAUGGACAAUAUGUUCAUAUAUGUAUUUUUGUAUUAGUAAUGUGAAGAUAUGCACUGUUGCAUUAAGACAUGUAUUUGUUAUUAGAGAUUAUUUAAAAUGUAUUUUUUACAGUGUCGAAAUGUAUUUGUAUUUUGAUACUGAUUUGUAUUUGUAUUUGUUUUUAUUUUUUAUACUGAUAAGAGUUGUAUUUAUUUCAGUAUAGAUAUGUAUGUGUAUUUGGUAAAGUAAGAUUUGUAUUUAUUACUGAUAACUGAUAAAAUGUAUUUAUUACAGUAUAAAUAUAUAUUUUUGUAUUUGUAAUCUUAUAUUUGAUGGAAAAUAUGUUUAUAUAUGUAUAUAUAAAAAAAAUUUAUUUGUAAUGUGAAGAUAUAUAUCUGUUACAUUAAGAUAUGUAUUUGUAUUUUAUGUAUUAUAUUAAAUAUAUUUGUUUCAAUAUAGAUAUAUAUUUUAAUUUGGUACUGAUAUGUUACUUCAAGAUGUAUUUUGUAAAUACAUAUCUGGUACUGUUUUGACAUGUAACUGUAUUUUUAAAUGUUAAGAUAUAUAUUAGAUAUAUUUUUUUAAUUAUUAAUAUUAAUAUGAUAUGUAAUUGAUGAAUGCAAAUCAUUGUAUUUUAUGUUUUGAUUUAAUAUAAUAGUUAUGAUUUUAUAAAAAAAUAUGUGUAUGAUUCUGUAGGUGUUGCCUGAUCAAAUAUACAUGGCAAAAGUAAUGCAUGUGUAUGUUCCAACUGUUGACUUUGAUCCAGAUCUUCUUCACACGAGAUAUACUUCAAUGUUGUGACAUUAUGGUUCGAGGAAAGAAGAAGAGAAGGCACAAAGUGAUGAUGAAGCACCAAUGAGGCCUCCUAGAAAUAUUGGGAUAACAGAAGAUAUUGCAUGAUAUUUGAAGUUUAUUUUGAAUUUGUUGUCUAGUGAACUUUAGGUGGACUAAGAUUUAGUUGAAUAUUUCUUAGGUUUCAUAUGUCACUUAAAUGUUGGAAGUUGAUAACUUAAUAUUUUCUUUCUUGUAAUUGUUAAAUUUUUUAUGUUUAAAUUUCUAAAAUAGAGUUGUUCGUGUUUAGUUUAUGUUACUAUUAUACAUAUUUUGGUAUGAAUAUGUGCUUUUCAGUUUUGAAUAUAAUUUUCAGUAAUGCAUAUGUAUGUUCCAGUCAUUAUAUUUAUAUUUCAGCUAUGCAUUUGUAUUUUCAUUUUAUGCAUAUGUAUUUUUGAGUAAUACAUGUGUUUUUUCAGUUCUGCAUAUAUACUUCUGAAUAAUACAUAAUUAUUGUAUAAUUUUGCAUAAUUCUAUAUAUUUUUAUGAUGCAUAUGUAUUUAUGAUUAAUACAUAUUUAUUACAUAAAUGUAUGUUAACUUAUUCUUAGUUUUUAUAGAUUGGCAUAGGUUUUUAUUAGAUUCUCAUAUGUAUUUUUCAGAUUAAAACAUUGACUUGUGUGGCAUAUAGUUUAUUAGAUAUAAAUAAAUGAUGUUAUAUGUCCUGUACAAUAUAUUCAUAAUGAUAACAUUUGCAACAAUUUAUUACAAAAAGUUCCAUAACAUCAACAAAUUUUAUCAAAAUUUAGAAUCAUAUAAUAAUCAGUGAAAAAAGAAAACAAUUAUUUUUUAACUGAAUACAUCAAUAAAUUUAUCAUUUAUUAUAUUUCCUACAUGAACGUCUAUUGUGAAUAAACUACAAUAAUUUUUGUUUUUCUUUUCGAACAUAUCUCUUCUCGAUUUUCACGAUUCUUUUUGCAGGUUUCCCAGGGGAUCGCUUGUAUUUUGAGGGCAGAACUAUCUCCUCCAAUAUCUCCUGCAGAAUUACCCAGUCAUCUUUAUGUGGUAGAGGAUAAACGGGAAGAUCAUACGUUCUAAACACAAAUUUUGGCUUGUAUAGAUCAAAGCAAUAUGGUCCCUUUUGAAAUUUCUUGCUAUCAAGUACUGCACAAGCAUGCACACACGGUAUCUCGUCCAAUUGAAAUGCAUGGCAAGAAUAUUUUUUCCCUUAAGGCAAAUAAUAAAAUGUUUAUCCUUGUCGUGGACUGUAUUGACAUACUCUGAAACUAGUAUAACCUGAAAUUAUUAAUACAAAAAUAAUUUUUAAAAAAAGUUGUCGGUUCAAAUCGUUCCAGCUUAGCAAAUGUUUUUUUUUAAGCAGCACGUGUAUAUUACAAGUCUUAAUAUGUAUAUUUAUGAUAUGCAUAUGUAUUUUCAUUACAGCAUAUGUAUAAUAUAAAUACAUAUAGCUGGAAACAUAUGAAACAAACAGUUAAUACAUAAAUAGACUGCAUACGUAUAUUAUAAAUAUAUAUAGUUAUUAAAAUAUAUAAAGUCAAAUACAUAUAGCUGUUAAAAUACGUACUUUAUACAAUAAUUAUUUCGUAUAUACAAAAAUGCAAAACGAAUUCCAACAAACAGAAACAAACUGAAUUUGCGAAUUGCUCGAAGAAACAAACUAACCAUUUAAAAGAAGCAAUCAAUAAAAGAAGUGCUUCAAAUGGAUGUAUAUAAAAUUAUCAUUUAACACUUAGCACACUAAGACAGGGCAACACAAGAUGAACUUGUUAUAUGAGGUUGAACACAAACUAACCAUUAAAAAGAAUAAAAAAAGUAGAUAAUAUUGUUUAAAAAAAAAAAAUAUGUCAAAUAGAGGCACAAUAAUACUGAAUAUAGUCAUCUUCAAUAGUUUAUGUUACUGCAAUUCUUUCUGAUUUCUCAUUUGUAUCUCGUUAAAGGAAAAAUAUUUUCCAUUUUCACUAUACAUUUAGCGAAUUUCUCAAAAAAAAUAUCAUUAUUUUCUUCAUAUACAAUCUCAAAUUUUGAAAUUUCACGACUGUUACGCAACUUUGUUGUAACUUUUUCAGCAAUUCUUGCAAUUUUUUUUAUGAAAUUCACAAACAGAAUCAAGUUUGUUUAUCGAUACCUGUAAUUGGAGCGUUGUAUUUUCAAUAUUUUCUUCAAAAUUUCAGACGAUCUUCAAUAAUAUUGAAAGCACUCUGGUUUUUGAAUUUACUUUGAUUUAUUGUUUAUGGAAAUCGUUGUUUGAAUUUAAAUUAUGUUGAUGUAAAUUGACGGUUGAGGUAAAAAUAAAAGAGUCAUAUAAGGCAAAUGAAUCUGUUUAAUUAAAUGUGACAUAAAUUAAUUAUUUAACUCCUUAGUUAAAUAUGGAACGGAUACCCUAUUUGUAUAUGUAUUUAUAUAACAAUCUUUUACUAAAAUACAAAAUACAUAUUACUAUUUUUCGUAAUUUUAAAACUGUUGCUAUAAAAGUUAUAAUUAAGGCUCUACAGUUGUUAUUUCUGAAAUUUUUCCAAAAACAAUUUUACAACCCAUUUAAGAACGUAAUCUUUUAGCCCAACCCAAAUAAGUCCACUGACCCGUGGGGAUUUUCAUUAGGCAAUAUGAACUGAAUUGCCCCAUGAAUCAAAUAAAAAAUAAUAGAAUAGAGUAUAAAAAGUAACAAGAGAAGUCUAAAUUCAAAAUUUACUUAAACCAUUAUAGAUAUUUGAAUAUUACUUAUAUUUAUAAAAUAUAGAAAUAAUUAGAAUACAAAGUAUUAAUUCUGUUAAAAAAUCAAAUAUACUCAAUGAAGAUGAUGUGGUGGUGUUGAAUAUGCCAUAAGUGUCAUGAAUUUUUUUUAAGGAGUUCAUUUUCACUUUAAUAGAUUAAAUAUAGACUUUUUUUUGUGCGUUUUAUUGUGUGUUUUAUUGUAAUCUAUAUAAAAUAAAAUUGUUCAUUGUUGUUUAGCUAGCUACAUUGUAUCGAUAUCUUUAUUUGGUUUGACCGGUAUCAAGUCAAAAGUUAUUUAAUUUCGUAGACUACUAGCAUUUUCUUUUGUGUGUGUGAAUUUGAGACUUAAUAACAAGUAGUAACAUCAUGUAAUGUUAUAUUAUUUUAAAUAAUUAUUUUAUUAAUAUUUUAAAAUUUAAAGUAAGAUUAUGAAAAUAAUAUAUUUUAAAAAGUGGGUUGGCGCGUGAAGGCCCGCAACCCAUAGUGUGAUAGAUUGGGCUAGCUGUUUUCUAAUCUGUCAUCCUGAUGGAUCAACUCGACCUGACUCGUCAAAUUAAAAGUUUGUGUGGGCAAACUCGAAAGGGCUGGACCGACCCGUAUUGCCAGAUCUAAUUUGAAGCGUAAGUUCGUGACUCAUUUAACGAAAUAUCGAGAGGCUUGACACUCAAGCCAUUCCUAAGAGAAAAGUUUCAAAGUAAUUGAGAUAUUGCCAAGGAUAUCACACAUUGUACUGAAGCAGGCGGAUGAAAUUGAGACUCAGACUCAUACUCAAUAUUGUGUGAUAAGAAUAUGUCGUCACGAUGUAAAAUAAGGUCUAUAACGUGAUACUUAAAACAAUUAUGUCAGAUGAGAUUAAAAAUAAAAAUAUUUGAGACAAAGGGUGUAUUUGGUAAAAAGGAAAAUGUUUUUCAUAAAAAAUAUUUUCCUAGAAAAUGUUUUUCUGAAAAACAAGUUGAUUUUUUACUUAUUUUCUUAUGUUUAGUUGGUGAGUGAAAAAAUAUUUUUUUAGAAAAUAUUUUUUAGUGUUUGGUUGGUGAAUGAAAAAAUAUUUUUCAAAAUAUACAUUUUAGUGUUUAGCUAAAGAGUAGAAAUACAUUUUAGAAAAUAAUUUUUUAUCUCAAUUUUUUUUGGGGGGACGUGUUCAAUAUAGAUGAAGAAAACGUUUUCUAGGAUAAUAAGUUGUUUCUUAUUUAUACUCUUGGUAAAUGUAUAUUUUCUAAAAGUAUUUAUAUAUAUUUAACAAAAAUAAUGAGAACAAAUAGGGUAAGAAGGGUGGGAUAGAAAAAAAGUUUUGAAUUUAAAAAAAUAAAUUAAAAUUUUUCUUUUUUCUGGAAGGGGGCCGAUAGGUGGGGUGGGGUGAGGGCGGAGGUUGUCAAAAUAGGUGGUAGGGAUAGGGUAAGAAAAAAUUCUUGAUGUUAUAAAGUAACAAAGAACAAAGAAGAAGAAGAGUAGAGAGAGAACAGAGAAUAAUUCUUAUUACUUCUUGAGGAAUGAGAGAUCAUAAGAUUGUAAAUAUAAUGAACAAAAUCCCUCUAUUUAUAGGGAAAAUUUACUCCUAGUCUGAGUAAAAGACAAAUGCUUCAAAUCCUAAUAGAUAUCAAAGUAGAUCUUUAUAGAUCUUGAUAGACAUUCACUAUAAUGUAAAUACAUUUAUAACACUCCCCCUUGAAUGUCUAAUUGGUAGAUAAUGUGUCUCGUUAAAACCUUACUAGAAAAAACCCAGGAAAAAAAUCUAGUGAAGGAAAAAGAGUACACAUCUCUAAUAAUACGCAUUUCGGCUGCCUCAUUAAAAACCUUACAAGGAAAACCCAGAGGGACAAAACCUCGUAAGGGAAAAAGAGCACAGCGCGUAUUAACUCCCCCUAAUGAGAGCAUCCUUGAACUUUUGCAUCCCGAUCUUGUACACCAUCUUCUUAAAAGUUGUAAUUGGAGAAGACUUGGUGAAUAAAUCAGUCACAUUGUCAGUUGUACGAAUCUGUUGCACGUNNNNNNNNNNNNNNNNNNNNNNNNNNNNNNNNNNNNNNNNNNNNNNNNNNNNNNNNNNNNNNNNNNNNNNNNNNNNNNNNNNNNNNNNNNNNNNNNNNNNNNNNNNNNNNNNNNNNNNNNNNNNNNNNNNNNNNNNNNNNNNNNNNNNNNNNNNNNNNNNNNNNNNNNNNNNNNNNNNNNNNNNNNNNNNNNNNNNNNNNNNNNNNNNNNNNNNNNNNNNNNNNNNNNNNNNNNNNNNNNNNNNNNNNNNNNNNNNNNNNNNNNNNNNNNNNNNNNNNNNNNNNNNNNNNNNNNNNNNNNNNNNNNNNNNNNNNNNNNNNNNNNNNNNNNUUUUUUACAAGAUACAUGAGUGCACCAAUUGUACUAAGAUAUGGUACUUCAUAACCAAUCCAAAUUGGUAUAUUUCUCAUUUCAGCAAAUAAUCUUAUUGCUUUUGAAAACUCUCCAAGAGUUUCAAUAAUUUUCAAGCUAUAAACUUAUACAAUAUAAGGAUUAUCAAUAAAUUUCCUAGAAAACUUUUAUAUUUGAAUCCUUAAAGAAGUUUUCAUACAAAUUUUGUCAAGUGACAAUAUUCAACAUUUUAUGUGUGACAUCUUCAAGUACCUAGACUGCAAAUCAAAUAAGUUUUAACUUACCAAGAUGCACCCUUUUUUAUUACUUGAUAAAUAUUUCUACGUCAGCAUGCUUAAAUAAACGUAGAAUUUAGAUCCUCGUAAUCUUUCACAAUAUUGCGCCAACAUUGUGUUAAAGAUAUUGAUGAUAUAUCAUUUCGUAUCGGUUCACAAUGCGACAUAACAUUUUGAGAUCUCAUCACUUCAUUAUUUUCAGGUACAUGAAUCUCUCAUAAGGUUUUAUGAAGUGUUAUGUCGUAGGCUCUUCAAGAAUUGCCUUCUUAUUAUGAUUAUUUGCUCCUUAUUUUUCAAGGGCUAUUUCAUUUGGAACCGAUCAGUCUACCACGCUUCACGCAUGAAUAGACUUUGUCCUUUAGUAACACAAAAUAAGAGCACUUGCGCUUAAUAUGAUAUGCUUUCAGCAUUUGACUUGAAUUAUCUUUUGGAUAAGGGUAUGACGAUAAUUCCUAACGUAUUUCAUAGCGCUUAUAAUCCCCCCCUUAUGUUCGAAAAACUAACAUACAUCCUCUACUUCUUUGAGGAAUUCAUCGUUGUGCAUUAUGGUAUAUUCAUUAAUCGUAUACCGCACAUCAAAAUUAUUAGAUGGAAUAAUUGGUUUCCNNNNNNNNNNNNNNNNNNNNNNNNNNNNNNNNNNNNNNNNNNNNNNNNNNNNNNNNNNNNNNNNNNNNNNNNNNNNNNNNNNNNNNNNNNNNNNNNNNNNNNNNNNNNNNNNNNNNNNNNNNNNNNNNNNNNNNNNNNNNNNNNNNNNNNNNNNNNNNNNNNNNNNNNNNNNNNNNNNNNNNNNNNNNNNNNNNNNNNNNNNNNNNNNNNNNNNNNNNNNNNNNNNNNNNNNNNNNNNNNCAUAAACAAUUCUUGAAGAAUCUUCUAGUUCUUCAAUACAUGCACAUCUUCGAGAUGUCACAAUCGUUCAUAUCAAUUUAUGAACUUUUAUUCUAGUAAACUCCAAGUUUACCAUGACAUGUUUUUUUUCACUUAAGUAAAUUUCAGAUUUACUAUUGCAUGAAUAAAUUUCAGAUUUACUACUUUAGAAGUAGAUUUCAAAAUUAUUCAACAUCUUUCGGAGGUGAGUUGUGAUACAACCACAAUCAAGUGCACGUUUGCAUUAAUAAGUUUCUCAUUCCCCAGGAAUGGAAUAUAAUCGUGCCUUAAGUCUAUCAAAUUAUGAUAGCUUAUAACCUCUUUCAAGAUUUUGCUACUUCAGAAGCAAAUCGAGGCAUACAUAUGAUGUUGAAAAUUUUUCUCUAGCAUAUAUUAUAAUGAUAGAAGCGUGUGAAAACAUCAUCACUUUUGAUGAUCAUUAUCAUAUUGUCCCUCUACGCGUAUAUUCGUGCAUUCAAUCACUUGUCUUCUUUCAGACAUAUUAUGCACUGCUAUCACAUACACCUCAAAAAUGAAGUAAGUUGUCAUAUUUCAGACUUAUCAUAUAUUGCUACCACAUUCAUUUCAUGGAAUGGAGCAUAUUCAAUGGGUCGAAUUUCAUGACUUUUCAUCAAACACCCAUUAUUUUGCCUUAGCCGUCACAAUAUCAUCAAUUUGGUGUAUUGAGAUUCAAACUCAAUAUUUGAUUCAUAUAAAGGCGUUUUAGGCAUGAAUCGACGGGACUUGAACCCAACAUAUUAUCAUCCUUUUUGAUAAUACUGUUCUUGAGGAAUAAAUUUAAAAUAUAAAUGGUUCCAAACCAAUUAAUUUUUUUCAAAUCCAAUAAUAAUUAUAUUAGUAGUAGGAAAAGAAAGAUAAAUAAAGAAUUACUAACCUUGAAAUCCUUCAGAUUUAUAAUCUCACCUUGUUUGGCAGAGUCUCAUGCUGAUAACGUGUUAUAAAGUAAUAAAGAACAAAGAAGAAGAAGAGUAGAGAGAGAAGAGAGAGUAAUUCUUAUUACUUCUUGAGGGAUGAGAGAUCAUAAGAUUGUAAAUACAAUAAACAAAACUCCUCUAUUUAUAGAGGAAAUUUACUCCUAGUCUGAGUAAAAGACGAAUGCUGCAAAUCCUAAUAGAUAUCAAAGUAGAUCUUUAUAGACAUUCACUAUAAUGUAAAUACAUUUAUAACACUUGAAUUUAUUUUAAAAAAUAAAUUUAAAAAUGGUGGGGAGAGGGGUGGGGGCCGGGUAGUAGGAGAUGGGGGUCGGGGUAGGGAAGUGAGAGUAGGGUAGAAAAAAAUUAAAAUUUUUAAAAAAUAUAUUUUUUCCACCUGGCUCUCACCGGUAGACCAUCCCCACACGCGGGCAUACUCUUUGCUUCUGGGGACAUUGAUCCAAAGCUCGAGUAUGGUCUGUGCGUCGUUUUUCUUCUCCUCCCUAUUGGGGAUAAGAUAGGACUCAGUCACUUCAUUAUAUGGUAGAUUACCCUUACUUCCUAAUUGUGGGCAUAGAUUUUUCGCUAAGUUAUCGAGCUUAGCAGGUAAAAGCUUGAUAGAUUCUCUUAGACGAAAUAGCAAUUUCUUAUCGCGAUAGAUAACUAUCUCAUAUAUAUAUGGCAAUCCCUCACAAGAGGUUUAAAGCUGUAUUUUUUUUUAUCACAACUAACUAUAUAUUUCAAUAAUAGAAAGCCAUCAAAUCACGAUAAGUUGUGGAAGUAGAUUGUAUGAAUGGAAGGAUUGUUGCGAACUACAAUAGCUAAACGAUCGAAAAAGUCAGACAACAUUUUAUUUUAUUUUUUUUAUUUUUUUUGGGAGGGGUCGGGUAAAGGGGGGAGGUAAGAAAAACGCUUGAUUUAAAAAAAAAAAAAAUUGGGCUUGAGGGGGGGGGGGGGGGAGGUAAGAAAAAGAAUUGAAAUAUUAUUUUUGAAUGGGGGCGGUAGAGGGCGGGGGUGGACGGUAGGGAUCGGGGUAGAGGUAGGUGAUUUUAAAAAUUGUGUGAAGUUGAAAGAAAGAUUUGAAAAAUACUCUCCUCACUUUUUAAAGAAAAGUCAUGAUUUUCCUUAGAUUUAAGAAAACUAAGUUGAUUUGAAAAAUAUUUUUCAAAACAUUUAAGCCAAUCAAACAUGAAAAAAUUGAAAAAUAUUUUCUUUUUUUCAAACACACUCAAAAUGCGAGUGACAUGGGUGAAGGACAAAAUAACCAACGUGGCUCAAUUUCAAAUAUAACAGAAGCAAAUCAUUAAUAAUCUUAUAUUUCUCUAUCACUACGUACAUGUUAUUUCUUUAGUCUCUAUAAUCGUACUUUCUCAUUAGUAUUUCUCUAUUGCUGCUUUUCAUCGUUUAUUUUUUAGAUCAUAAGUCUAGAGAAAAUGAUCUCAACCUUCUCAAGGUAGGACCAAUCUGUUCACCCACAAUUCUUCUCAUAUUCUAUUUAUGAAACUGUACUAAAAAAAUUUAUUCUAGUCCACCAAAUAGACAGAAUAACCCUCUCUUGGAAUGUGGAAACUAGGUAAUUUGUCAUAACACGAGGGGCAAAUUGAAACAAAGAAAAUAUGAACAGAAAUGAAUCCUUAAACUCUUGUUCAAACAAAGAAAGGUGAAUACCAAAAAGAUUUAAUUAAUUUUAAAGAAAUUAAAAUGGUCAGAUUAACUCAUGAAACUAUGAUUCACAUAAUUCGUUUAAGUUUAGGCAAUUCAUAUUUUCGCCACUCUUAAUUCAUCAAAAAAAUUGGUUAAUAUGUGGUUUAAAUUAUUGCAUGAAAAAAUAUUGUCAAAACAUUUCUAGAAAACCCCCCUUUUUGAAGUAGUUGAUAUGGUAUAGCCAAAAGUAACAAAAUUACUAACUAAAUAAAUUUAUAAGAAAACAAACAAACAAAUCAAUCUAGGCGAAAAAUUAUGUUAGACUACGAACCACUGUUUUGCCAAUUUUGAUAUUGUUCAAUUCAGCCCACGCUACUAACUCUUGUCAACCCAAUACUUCCUUCGUCUUAUAUUACUUGGCAUAUUUGUUAAAAAAAUUAUCUUAAAAUAGUUGACAUAUUUUAAAAAUCAAAAGAUAAUUGAACCUUUUUUCAAAUUUACCCUUAAUAAGUUAGUGAAAGUAAUUAACUUAAAUAGGUAAUGACAACAUUUAAUGUGAAUUUAAUAGGAUUAUGUCAGUCAAUUUGCACCCCUUAUUAAUCUCUUCUUAAGAUUUAUAAAAAAGACUAACAUGACAAAUAAUAUGGUGUGUUUGGUAUAUUUUCCUAAAAAAUAUUUUUCUGGAAAACAAACAAGUUGAUUUCUUACGUGUUUUCUUAUGUUUGGUUGAUGGAUGGAAAAUAUUUUUCGAAAAAUAUUUCCUAGUGUUUGGUUGGUGAAUGAAAAAAUAUUUUUCAAAAAUUACAUUUUAAUGUUUAGUUAGAGCGUAAAAAUAUAUUUUAAAAAAAUAAUUUUUAAUCCCAAAAAAUACAUUUUUUAGGGUGUGUUCGAUAUGUAGGAUAAAAAAUGUUUAUAUGAAGGAUGAAAAAUGUUCUGAAAAAAUAAGUUGUUUCUUACUUAUAUUCUUGUGUUCGUUAUGCAAAUUGGGUAAGCAUAUGUUUUGUAAAACUAUUUAUAUAUAUUUAAUAAAAACAAUGAGAAUGAAUAAGAGAAGGGUGGGAUAGUAAAAAAGUUUUGAUUUUUUUUUUAAAUUAAAAACGGUAAUUUUUUUUUGGAGAGGAGGUUGGUAGGUGGGGGUUGGGGUUGUCAAAAUAGGUCGUAAGGGUGGGGUAAGAAAAUAAUUUUGAUUUUUUAAGAAUUUUUUUUGGGAAGUGGGGGNNNNNNNNNNNNNNNNNNNNNNNNNNNNNNNNNNNNNNNNNNNNNNNNNNNNNNNNNNNNNNNNNNNNNNNNNNNNNNNNNNNNNNNNNNNNNNNNNNNNNNNNNNNNNNNNNNNNNNNNNAUUUAUUUGGGGUGGGUGGGGGGAGGAGGUUGGUAGGGGUGAGGGUGUGUUAGGGGAGGUAAGAAAAAAGUUUAAUUUUUUUAAAAAAAAUUAACUAUUCUUUUUGGAGGGGGAGGUGGGUAAGGUUUUGGGUUUUGGGUAGGGGAUGAGGUAAGAAAAAAAAUUGAAAUAUUUUUUUUAGACGGGGUGGUAGGAGAGGUGGGGGAGUGGGGAAUUAAGGGUCGGAGUAGGAGUGGAGUAUUUUGAGAGUUGUAUGAAUAUUUCAACUUAAGAUUGAGGUUGAAAGAGAGUUUUGAAAAAUGUUUUCCUUACUUCUUGAAGGGAAAUCAUUUUUCUAGAUUUGAGGAAAAUAAGUUGAUUUGUAAAACAUUUUCCGAAAUCUGUAAGUCAACCAAACAUGAAAAAAUUGAAAAACAUUUUCCAGAAAAUAUUUUCCUUCGUACCAAACACUGGUACGCACCCGGAGAGUAUAUUUUAACUUUGUCCAAACUAUAUUUGACCUCUAUAUUAACCCAAUAUAUUGGAUCAUCGAUCAAAUUUUUUUCACCAUAUUAAAUAUUUUACCACAUCAAAAAUCUCCCUUCACACAUCCCCAUCCCCUUUUAGUUUAUGAAUUCUUGAGGUGCAAUUAUAAAAGCAAAAACACACUAGUCUAUAUGCUUCAACCCCAGAGUGUGUGAAGCAUUAUUUCUGUGGAUUGAGCACCACAAUUCUUUUAAUCAUCGUUAACAAUCCCAAUGGACGAGAAAGUGAUCGAUCUUUUAUAUCACUAACAAUCUGAAUAUCAAUUCUACCAAACUCUCAAGUGUUAUUUUUCAAUUAUGGAAAAAGAACUAACAAGAAGAGGCUACACGAGUGUGUAGACACACCUAUAGAACAACACACUUCUGCAUUCAUGGUCAGUAAUGUGACAUUCAGUUGCAAAUAGAAUUGGAAGAAUAUGACUAACCCAAAUGUCAGUUUCGAGAUUACCAACUAAAUCUUUAUUUUGAUGGGUAGAACUACUUACUACAAAUAUAUAUAAUGUGUAACGCUCGAGUAAAAGAGUUGUUUGGUGCAAUAAGUGUAAUGCUAGAGGGAACAACAAUAAUUUAGGUUUUAAGUAAUCAUUUCACCGGUAGAAAAAACGAAAAUAGUGAAUUGUAGGCUAAAGGAAUGCAUAUUCCAAUGGGGCUUGACACAGGAUACUGAGCCGAGUGUACGAUAAUUUCAUCAAUUACCUAUAUUAUAAAUUAAAAUUAGUUAAUCGACACCACUUAAAAAGUUAGUAAAUGAAAUAAAAUUAAAUUACAUAAACUCUAACCCUUUUGAAGCUAAUCAUUGUUUAUCCCAACUUUUUUUAAAAAUUAGUAAAAAUUUCUAAUUUAUAAGUUCACACAAGUACAUAUUGCACCCGAUUAAUUCUUCUCACUAGUCUUUUGAAGUUAUGGAUAUUCUCAAAUAUAUCCUUUUACGAAAUACAUAAGUGAACAAUAAUAAUAUUUAGUGUAAUAUUUUAUAAGUGCAAUUUUAUCCCUAUCUUGAGAAAACUCAAGAUCACGAAGAGGUUAUUUUUUAUCAAGUAACCCAUUUCAGAUCAGAUAUGGAAAAAUACAUAAGAGAAAUGUAGCAAAACUAAAAGAGCUAAAGAGAAAUCGUUAUUGAGAUUUAUAUAAUGUAAUAGAUUUCAUUCUAUUCCAUUACAAAUAACAACUAGUAGUUAGUAAGUAAUACAAUUCAUCCAUGGCCAUGAGAAUUAUAUUAAUUCAGCCUGAGAUUGUGAAAUUUAAUCUAAAUACCCUCCUCCUCUUAAACCAAAAGAAUGAAUAGCAUCUUAACAUUAAGAAAGUUAAAAAAAGGAGAAGGAGAUUUAUUUAUCAUCUCCAUCUUGGCCUAAUUCAGCUCUAACAUCUUCUUUAAUAGUCUCCAAUUUUGGGGAAUGAGAAUUUUUUUGUGGGAAAACAAAAAGUGAAGGAGCAACUUCAAUCUUCACCAUCUUCUUUGCCAUUGUCAAUAUGAAUAAUACAACGUAGAUUGUGAGCUUUCUCCUUAAAAUAUAAGACAAAGGGAACAGAUGUUGGAAGGUGUAUAUAUAAUUGGGUUGAUGAUGAAUAUACCAAAAUGUUUUGGAGGGGUUUUGCUUAUAUAGGGAAAGGAAGAUGAAAAAUAUCAAGAAUCAGAGAGUACGUGUACGGUGUUAUGCAAUACCACGUGUGCUCAAUGCCCCAUAAAUAUAGACAAGAACAAUGGAAACACCAAAGAAGGCAUGUGGAAAAUUAUGAAUUAUUUGUUUGGUGGAAUGGCCACAUCAGUUUGUUUGGGAGAAGGUGACUGAAUAUUGAAAACUUCCUCUUAUGUAUUCUUGACACGUAUGCACUUCUAGAUUUUAUUUCAUUUUUACGUGUGGGUGCUGUUGCGCGCCUCCUUAAUUGUUAGGUCAUAGUAAUAUGAUUAUUGCGUUUGAG